rnacentral:lncRNA from 1 species
AACCCCAGAAAGCAAACUAGAAGACACUAAUUUGGAUGUACACUUUGUCAGGCCCCAUAUAGUCAAAAUAUUGGUGUAUCUUCCUGCUGCUUCCUUUCCCCCCUCAUCUCUAAACCUUUUUUAAGUUUUUUUCCAAAAAGAAUGAACCCCCCACCCUCCCCCCUGAGACUAUAUUCUGCAAAAGAAGUUUUCCAAUCCAUCCUUUUCUCAAAAGUUACUUGGCGGCCAGUUCACCUGUUGAUGCUGAGGCUGCUGCUG